ACCUCUUCCCAUUCCGAACAGAGAAGUUAAGCUCACUAACGCCGAUGGUACUGCCUAUUUAGGUGGGAGAGUAGGUAGCCGCCUCUU
rnacentral:rRNA from 1 species